rnacentral:rRNA from 1 species
UACGAAGGGGGCUAGCGUUGUUCGGAAUUACUGGGCGUAAAGGGCGCGUAGGCGGUGUGUCAAGUCAGGCGUGAAAGCCCCGGGCUCAACCUGGGAACCGCGCUUGAGACUGGCACGCUCGAGUUCGGGAGAGGAUGGUGGAAUUCCCAGUGUAGAGGUGAAAUUCGUAGAUAUUGGGAAGAACACCGAUGGCGAAGGCAGCCAUCUGGACCGACACUGACGCUGAGGCGCGAAAGCUAGGGGGAGCGAACGGG